GCGGCGGCGUUAGAGUCACAUAGGAGCACGAACCCUAUUGUGAACUGCGCAUGCGAGGGAUCUAGGUUGUGCGCUCCUUGUGAGAAUCUAACGCAUCAUAAUCUGUCAUGUCUCCCAUCACCUUCAGAUGGGACUUUCUUGUUGCAAGAAAGCAAGCUCAGGGCUCCCACUGAUUCUACAUAAUGAUGGGACCUGUAUCUAGAUCCAGAAGGUUGAUAAGGGCAAAUGAAGGCUCUAUCUGACCACUAGUUUUUCCCUCAAAAGGAUCCACAUUUGUCACAAGAGCCACAGAAGGAUUCUUAGGUAGAAGACGGAGCCUCACUCUAUCUCCAGCGAUCUCGGCUCACUGCAACCUCCGCCUCCCAGGUUCAAGAGAUUCUCCUGCCUCAGCCUCAUGAGUAGCUGGGAUCACAGGCGCAUGCGACCAUGCCCAGCUAAUUUGUUUGUUUGUUUGUUUUUUUAGUAGAGACAGUGUUUCGCCAUGUUGGCCAGGAUGGUCUCAAUCUCUUGACCUCGUGAUCCGCCCGCCUCAGCCUCCCAAAGUGCUGGGUUUUACUUUCAAAAUAAAUCCAGGAUCCAACAGCUCUACACCUCUUUACCGUUACAGCCCUGAUGCAAACACUGCUGGCUGAUCUGGGGUUGCCGAUGUAGCCUGCUAAUUCAUGCCUUCUGCUUUUCCUGCCCCACUACUGUCUGUUUCAACACUGCAGCCAGAGUGAAACUGAUAUAGUGUUGUCAGAUCAAUACACACCAUCCUGCCCUAACCCCAGCACUCUGCCACUAGAAAUCAAACUCCUUCCCAUGAAAGCAGAGUCCCUGGGAAGUGGUGCCCAUGACUUACUGAUCUGGUGUCCCCAGCUGUAUCCCCCUCACUCACUCUUCACCAGCUAGCCUGGCCUCUGUAUUAAUCCUCAAACACAAGAGGCUGGCAUUUCCCCACCGCAGGAUGUAUGCACUGGCUGUCCCUCUGCUUGGAAACACCCACACAGCCUGCUCCCUCACAUCUUUUAUAUCUUCAUUCAAAUGUCACCUCUCAGGGAGGCCUCCCUGACCACACAGUUUAAUAUCACAAGCAUCCUCUGACACCUGAUUCUCCUUCUCUCCCUUUAUUUUCCCCUGAACCUGUCAUCGCCUUCUAGCAAAAUAGAUACUUUAUGUAUUGAUAUGGUCUAGGAUCUGCCUCUCCAUUAAAACACAAACUCCACAAAAAAAGGGAACUUGGUCUGUUUCAUUCAUUGCUUUGUCCUUUGUGCCAAGACAGUGCUAGGCAUAUAGGAGAUACUCAAUAAAUACUUGUCAAACGAA
rnacentral:lncRNA from 1 species